UACAGAGGGGGCAAGCGUUAUUCGGAAUUAUUGGGCGUAAAGGGCGCGUAGGCGGCUUUGCAAGUGGCGGGUGAAAUCCCUCGGCUUAACCGGGGAACUGCAUCUGAUACUGGAUGGCUUGAGAUUGGGAGAGGGAUGCGGAAUUCCAGGUGUAGCGGUGAAAUGCGUAGAUAUCUGGAGGAACACCUGUGGCGAAAGCGGCGCACUGGACCAUAACUGACGCUGAGGCGCGAAAGCUAGGGGAGCAAACAGG
rnacentral:rRNA from 1 species